ACUGUCAACUUUUGCCACACUUUUGUGAGCGCUAUCUAGUUCCUGCACGAAGGUGAACGAAAGAAUCUGCUAGCGAAGAAGAGCUUCCAGCGCAUCAGGGCGGACAUUUAUUUGAAGCAGCAGGUGCAAACCACAUCAAGAUGAUGCACUUUGCCGUCAACCGCACGAAUGGAAUGGAAUUUUGACGUCCUGAGAGAGGUGUUCCGCCUGCUUUGCCGUAACCACAAAUGCUGCUGUUCUGCAGAUUCGUUAGCCAGCAUGCGGAGGUUUGCAAAAGUGCAAAGAAGAAAAAAAGAGCAGCACAAUUGAAAGCGACUGAAGAGAGGAAAAGGGACAGCAUCGAACGGAAACCCUACGGCAAUCCUUUCAUCGGUGCACCUGCAACGAACCAACGGUAGCACACCAUGUGUGUGUGGGUAUGUGUAGCGCACCCAGAAGCCGCGGGUUUCGAUUAACGAACGACCGGCAACGCCGGUUUCGCUCAAUAGGAAUAGCAAAUUCAAUACAUUCCACCUUUUGCCGGUUGCGAUAAAAAUGAUCAACUUUUGCGGAA